AUUGAACGCUGGCGGCAGGCCUAACACAUGCAAGUCGAACGAUUGGCGGACGGGUGAGUAAUGUCUGGGAAACUGCCUGAUGGAGGGGGAUAACUACUGGAAACGGUAGCUAAUACCGCAUACCAUCGGAUGUGCCCAGAUGGGAUUAGCUAGUAGGUGGGGUAAAGGCUCACCUAGGCGACGAACCCUAGCUGGUCUGAGAGGAUGACCAGCCACACUGUAACUGAUACACGGUCCAGAAUCCUACGUGAGGCAUCAGGGGGGAAUAUUGCACAAUGGGAGCAAGCCUGAUGCAGCCAUGCCGAGUGUAUGAAGAAGGCCUUCGGGUUGUAAAGUACUUUCAGCGGGGAGGCGUUACCCGAAGAAGAAGCACCGGCUAACGCCGUGCCAGCAGCCGCGGUAAUAC
rnacentral:rRNA from 1 species